AAGGGAGGCGGGCGAGGGGAGCAGCGGGGCGACGCAGGCGGCUGAAAAAUUUUUUCACCCAUGUCUUUUGCGCACUUGUUGUUUCCUGGGCGGGUUCGCCCGCCACCAGGACCAAACCAUAAACCUUUUUCUUAUGCAGUUUCCAUCAGCGUCAGUAAAAACAAUGUAAUAAUUACAACUUUCAACAACGGAUCUCUUGGUUCUGGCAUCGAUGAAGAACGCAGCGAAAUGCGAUACGUAGUGUGAAUUGCAGAAUUCAGUGAAUCAUCGAAUCUUUGAACGCACAUUGCGCCCUUUGGUAUUCCAAAGGGCAUGCCUGUUCGAGCGUCAUUUGUACCUUCAAGCUUUGCUUGGUGUUGGGCGUUUUUGUCUCCCUCUUUCUGGGAGACUCGCCUUAAAACGAUUGGCAGCCGGCCUACUGGUUUCGGAGCGCAGCACAUUUUUUGCGCUUUGUAUCAGGAGAAAAGGACGGUACUCCAUCAAAACUUUUACAAUUUUAACUUUUGACCUCCGAUCAGGUAAGGAUACCCGCUGAACUUCCCCCUUUCUUUUGCUAGAGGAAAAACCCGA
rnacentral:rRNA from 1 species